UACCGGCGAAUGAAUAAGCCGAUGUCUGGAUUUGCGGCUCGUCCCCCGCCGCCACCCAGACCGAGGACAAGGGCCAUCCCCCCCGCCCCUUGCGGCCCUUGUCCGACCAAUAGGCCGCCAUGACCGUCCCCUCUGGUCAUGGCGGCUUUCU
rnacentral:sRNA from 1 species